AUUGAACGCUGGCGGAAUGCUUUACACAUGCAAGUCGAACGGCAGCACGGGGGCAGCCCUGGUGGCGAGUGGCGAACGGGUGAGUAAUACAUCGGAACGUGCCCGGUCGUGGGGGAUAACGUAGCGAAAGUUACGCUAAUACCGCAUACGAUCUGAGGAUGAAAGCGGGGGACCUUCGGGCCUCGCGCGAUCGGAGCGGCCGAUGUCAGAUUAGGUAGUUGGUGGGGUAAAGGCCUACCAAGCCGACGAUCUGUAGCUGGUCUGAGAGGACGACCAGCCACACUGGGACUGAGACACGGCCCAGACUCCUACGGGAGGCAGCAGUGGGGAAUUUUGGACAAUGAGCGCAAGCCUGAUCCAGCCAUUCCGCGUGCAGGACGAAGGCCUUCGGGUUGUAAACUGCUUUUGUACGGAACGAAAAGGCUCUGGCUAAUACCUGGGGCUCAUGACGGUACCGUAAGAAUAAGCACCGGCUAACUACGUG
rnacentral:rRNA from 1 species